rnacentral:rRNA from 1 species
GUGGGGAAUCUUCCGCAAUGGACGAAAGUCUGACGGAGCGACGCCGCGUGAGUGAAGAAGGCCUUCGGGUCGUAAAGCUCUGUCAUCAGGGACGAAUGGCCGGUGGAGUGGAAAGCCACCGGAUUGACGGUACCUGAGAAGGAAGCCACGGCUAACUACGUGCCAGCAGCCGCGGUAAUACGUAGGUGGCAAGCGUUGUCCGGAAUUAUUGGGCGUAAAGCGCGCGCAGGUGGGAUCUUAAGUCCAUUUUGAAAGUUCGGAGCUCAACUCCGUGAUGGGAUGGAAACUGGGAUUCUUGAGUACCGGAGAGGAAAGCGGAAUUCCCCGUGUAGCGGUGAAAUGCGUAGAUAUGGGGAGGAACACCAGUGGCGAAGGCGGCUUUCUGGACUGUGUCUGACGCUGAGAUGCGAAAGCCAGGGUAGCGAACGGGAUUAGAAACCCUUGUAGUCC